CAAUAGCGUAUAUUAAAGUUGUUGCGGUUAAAAAGCUCGUAGUUGGAGUUCUGCCAGGUGCCGCCUGUCCGCCCCAGUGGUGAGUACGUGGCGCGCAUUUGGCCCUUUCAAGGGGAGCGUAUCUGCACUUUAUUGUGUGGUGCGGGAUCCUUGACUUUUACUUUGAGGAAAUAGGAGUGUUCCAAGCAGGCUCUCGUCGUGCACAGCUCAGCAUGGAAUAAUAGCAUUGGACCUCGAUUCUAAGCUGUUGGUUGCCAGAAGCGAGGUAAUGAUGAAGAGGGAUAGUUGGGGGCAUUCGUAUUUAACUGUCGGAGGUGAAAUUCUUGGAUUUGUUAAAGACGGACUACUGCGAAAACAUCUGCCAUGGAUGUUUUCAUUGA
rnacentral:rRNA from 1 species